rnacentral:rRNA from 1 species
UGCCUAAUACAUGCAAGUCGAACGCACAGCGAAAGGUGCUUGCACCUUUCAAGUGAGUGGCGAACGGGUGAGUAACACGUGGACAACCUGCCUCAAGGCUGGGGAUAACAUUUGGAAACAGAUGCUAAUACCGAAUAAAACUUAGUGUCGCAUGACACAAAGUUAAAAGGCGCUUCGGCGUCACCUAGAGAUGGAUCCGCGGUGCAUUAGUUAGUUGGUGGGGUAAAGGCCUACCAAGACAAUGAUGCAUAGCCGAGUUGAGAGACUGAUCGGCCACAUUGGGACUGAGACACGGCCCAAACUCCUACGGGAGGCUGCAGUAGGGAAUCUUCCACAAUGGGCGAAAGCCUGAUGGAGCAACGCCGCGUGUGUGAUGAAGGCUUUCGGGUCGUAAAGCACUGUUGUAUGGGAAGAACAGCUAGAAUAGGAAAUGAUUUUAGUUUGACGGUACCAUACCAGAAAGGGACGGCUAAAUACGUGCCAGCAGCC